UAACCACUCAGAUAUCUCUCCAGGCCUA
rnacentral:piRNA from 1 species